rnacentral:rRNA from 1 species
GACGAACGCUGGCGGCGUGCCUAAUACAUGCAAGUCGAGCGAAGUUUUUCUGGUGCUUGCACUAGAAAAACUUAGCGGCGGCCGGGUGAGUAACACGUAAAGAACCUGCCUCAUAGACUGGGACAACUAUUGGAAACGAUAGCUAAUACCGGAUAACAGUAUUUCUCGCAUGGGAGAUAUUUAAAAGUUGGUUGUGCUAACACUAUGAGAUGGCUUUGCGGUGCAUUAGCUAGUUGGUGGGGUAAAGGCCCACCAAGGCGACGAUGCAUAGCCGACCUGAGAGGGUGAUCGGCCACACUGGGACUGAGACACGGCCCAGACUCCUACGGGAGGCAGCAGUAGGGAAUCUUCCGCAAUGGGCGAAAGCCUGACGGAGCAACGCCGCGUGAGUGAAGAAGGAUUUCGGUUCGUAAAGCUCUGUUGUUAGGGAAGAAUGGAUAUGUAGUAACUAUACAUGUAAGAGACGGUACCUAACCAGAAAGCCACGGCUAACUACGUG